AACGUAGGUGGCAAGCGUUAUCCGGAUUUACUGGGCGUAAAGCGCGUUCAGGCGGUCUGGCAAGUCGGGCAUGAAAUCUCUCGGCUCAACCGGGAGAGGCUGUCCGAUACUGCUGGACUUGAGGGCAGUAGAGGAAGGUGGAAUUCCGCAUGUAGUGGUGAAAUGCGUAGAUAUGCGGAGGAACACCAGUGGCGAAAGCGGCCUUCUGGGCUGCUCCUGACGCUAAAGCGCGAAAGCUAGGGUAGCGAAC
rnacentral:rRNA from 1 species